UACGGGGGGGGCAAGCGUUGUUCGGAAUUACUGGGCGUAAAGGGUUCGUAGGUGGCCAACUAAGUCAGACGUGAAAUCCCUCAGCUUAACUGGGGAACUGCGUCUGAUACUGGAUGGCUUGGAUUCGGGAGAGGAAUGCGGAAUUCCAGGUGUAGCGGUGAAAUGCGUAGAUAUCUGGAGGAACACCGGUGGCGAAGGCGGCAUUCUGGACCGAUAUUGACGCUGAGGAGCGAAAGCCAGGGAGCAAAGCGGG
rnacentral:rRNA from 1 species